GACGAACGCUGGCGGCGUGCUUAACACAUGCAAGUCGAACGGUGAAGCGCCUUCCUUUUUGGUGGGUGUGGAUGAGUGGCGAACGGGUGAGUAACACGUGAGUAACCUGCCCCCUUCUUCUGGAUAACCGCAUGAAAGUGUGGCUAAUACGGGAUAUUCUGGGUCUGUCGCAUGAUGGGUCUGGGAAAGAUAUUGUUUCGGUGGGGGAUGGGCUCGCGGCCUAUCAGCUUGUUGGUGGGGUGAUGGCCUACCAAGGCGGUGACGGGUAGCCGGCCUGAGAGGGUGGACGGUCACACUGGGACUGAGACACGGCCCAGACUCCUACGGGAGGCAGCAGUGGGGAAUAUUGCACAAUGGGCGCAAGCCUGAUGCAGCGGCGCCGCGUGAGGGAUGGAGGCCUUCGGGUUGUGAACCUCUUUCGCCAGUGAAGCAGGCCUGCCUCGUUUGUGGGUGGGUUGACGGUAGCUGGAUAAGAAGCGCCGGCUAACUACGUG
rnacentral:rRNA from 1 species